GGAGAGGCUGUGGCUCAGUGGUAGAGCAUCUGCUUAACAUGCAGAAGGUCCCAGGUUCAACCCCUGGCAUUUCCA